AGUCUAGCCUGCCCGUUGAAGAUUUGAAAGGCCGCGGUAUUUUGACCGUGCGAAGGUAGCAUAAUCAUUAGUCUUUUAAUUGAAGGCUUGUAUGAAGGGUUGGACGAGAAAUAAGCUGUCUUUAUUGAAAAAAUAGAAUUUAACUUUUAAGUGAGAGGGCUUAAAUGUUCUAAAGGGACGAUAAGACCCUAUAAAGUUUGACAUUUUAUUCAUUAAAAAAUAAAAUAAUUAAAUUAGUUUUUAUUAGUGGGGUAAUGUUUUGUUGGGGCGAUUAGAAUAUAAAAAAUUUAACUGUUUUAUAUUAAUACAAAGUUGUUUGAGUGUUUUGAUCCUUGGUAAAGGUAUUAGAGUAAAUUACUUUAGGGAUAACAGCGUAAUUUUUUUUGAGAGUUCUUAUCGACAAAAAAGUUUGCGACCUCGAUGUUGAAUUAAAGAAUUCUUUAUAGCGCAGAAGUUAUAAAAGAAGGUCUGUUCGACCUUUAAAUCUUUACAUGAUUUGAGUUCAGACCGGCGUGAGCCAGGUUGGUUUC
rnacentral:rRNA from 1 species